UACGUAGGGACCAAGCGUUGUUCGGAUUUACUGGGCGUAAAGGGCGCGUAGGCGGCCCCGCAAGUCACUUGUGAAAUCUCUGGGCUUAACCCAGAACGGCCAAGUGAAACUGCAGGGCUAGAGUGUAGAAGGGCAAUCGGAAUUCUUGGUGUAGCGGUGAAAUGCGUAGAUAUCAAGAGGAACACCUGAGGUGAAGACGGGUUGCUGGUCUAACACUGACGCUGAGGCGCGAAAGCCAGGGAGCAAACGGG
rnacentral:rRNA from 1 species